UUGAUGGGCCCUCCAAUUCACAGAACAGGGGAAAGACAGGCAGUGACAAUUCUGUCCUAGUAUAUGGUGCUACUAGUUGGCCUCAAUCCUGACCUAGAAGGAAGAUCUUCAAAGCUCACAAUUAAUUUAGACUCUAUUCCAGGUCAGUCCUUGGCAUCU
rnacentral:sRNA from 1 species